GUUGCUUUAAACUAGGUGUGUAACUAUAGCCUGAGGUUAACAGCGACAGGUGGGACAGUCAUUCAAUCGUUGGAACCGUCUGGAAAUCCUUUCUUUGUGAUGCUUAUUUGUGAAGAGAGAAUGUGUGUUGGCUGCACCCAGUCCCCUUUGUUUCAGUCUCUCUCUUUUUAAGGAAACCUGUUCUGUUCAGGGCUGUACUGUAAGCACACACUGCCAUUGUGUUGUUCACGAAGCCAAUAUAUUAUGGAGCUUAACUUUACCCUCAAAAAGGGGAAAAACGGGCACAUUUGGGAAAUGUGUCUAAAUUCCUAAACCCCCUAUGACUGGUUGUUGGGACUGUCUGAACUCAAAGUGCACACCUCUCUCUCAGGGAGCGCUGCGUCACCGGGUUACGAGGUAGAGCUGCGUCACCGGGUUACGAGGUAGCGCCGCGUCACCGGGUUACGAGGUAGCGCCGCGUCACCGGGUUACGAGGUAGCGCCGCGUCACCGGGUUAUGAGGUAGAGCUACGACAAUGCAAUCCUCUAGGAUUUUGCCUGCGCUUAGCUCUAUUCCGUUUAUUUUUAUCCCCAAAAAACUCCCUCGCUAAUGACAAGCAUACCCAUAACAUGGCGCAGCCACCACCAUACUUCAAAAUAUAGAGAGUGGUACUCAGUGAUGUGUUGGAUUUGCCCCAAACAUAACAUUUUGUAUUCAGGACAUAAUUUUUUAUUCUGUACAGGCUUCCUUCUUUUCACUCUGUCAUUUAGGUUAGUAUUGUGGAGUAACUACAAUGUUGUUGAUCCAUCCUCAGUUCCCCCAUCACAGCCAAUAAAC
rnacentral:lncRNA from 1 species